AGGUAUGAUCAUACCAACACUAAUGCACCGGAUCCAUUCAGAACUUUGCAGAUAAGCAUGCUUGGGCGAGAGUAGUACUUGGAUGGGUGACCUACUAGGAAGUCCUCGUGUUGCACCUC
rfam:Lupinus angustifolius cultivar Tanjil contig_1834, whole genome shotgun sequence.